rnacentral:sRNA from 1 species
GAACACAGGCACUUGUCUCAGAUUUUUUUUCCCCAAUAUAUCUUUAUAUGUGUUAUAUUAAGGUACAUAUAUAGGUAAAAAAAAUCUGAGACAAGUGCCUGUGUAC